GAUGAACGCUAGCGGCAGGCCUAAUACAUGCAAGUCGAGGGGUAACAGGUGUAGCAAUACAUGCUGACGACCGGCGCACGGGUGCGUAACGCGUAUGCAACUUACCUUUAACUGGGGAAUAGCCCCGAGAAAUCGGGAUUAAUACCUCAUAAUAUUUAUCAUUCGCAUGUUUGAUAAAUUAAAGCUCCGGCGGUUAAAGAUGGGCGUGCGUGACAUUAGCUAGUUGGUGAGGUAACGGCUCACCAAGGCUGCGAUGUCUAGGGGGCCUGAGAGGGUGGUCCCCCACACUGGUACUGGGAAACGGACCAGACUCCUACGGGAGGCAGCAGUGAGGAAUAUUGGUCAAUGGUCGGAAGAUUGAACCAGCCAUGCCGCGUGCAGGAAGACGGUCCUAUGGAUUGUAAACUGCUUUUAUUUGGGAAUAAACUCCGGUACGUGUACCGGCCUGAAGGUACCAAAUGAAUAAGCACCGGCUAACUCCGUGCCAGCCGCCGCGGUAACAC
rnacentral:rRNA from 1 species